UCUUCGGAGAGUUUGAUCCUGGCUCAGGACGAACGCUGGCGGCGUGCCUAAUACAUGCAAGUCGAGCGAAUCGACGGGAGCUUGCUCCCUGAGAUUAGCGGCGGACGGGUGAGUA
rnacentral:rRNA from 1 species